rnacentral:rRNA from 1 species
AUGAAAGCCUCCAUUGCACAUGUUGAUGCAUGUGUGGCUGAUAUUGACGAGGAUUUACUUGCUGAUGCGGCUCUUCCUGUGCCUGACCAUAUGCCUGAAGAGAAUCACUUCUGGUAUGAUAAGGAACAUCCUGUGAUAGAGGAAGGAUCUUUGUUUCGUUCAAUGAAAGAGUUCAGGAUGCUCAUGAGAACAUUUGCUAUUAGAGGUAAGUUUGACAUCAAGAUCAAGGAUAGUGACACUACUAGGUUUUUGGGUCACUGUAAAGGGAAUGGAUGUCCUUGGAGAAUAACUGCUAGGACAAUAGAAGAUGGAAAAACAGUCAGGGUUAACAAGAUAGUAAAGCCUCAUAAGUGUUCAUCAACCGCUGCAGUGAUUACAAGCAUGGCAGACCAAGCAUGGGUGGCAGAAAAGGCAAUGGGGUAUCUUCAAACUGAACAAAAUAUUGGUGCCAGGGAGCUCCAAAAAAAGCUACAAGCAGAGUACAAAUGUACUAUUGGGUAUCAUACUGUUAACAAGGGAAAAGAAAGGGCCAAGAAUAGUUUAUAUGGGACCUGGGGAAAAAGCUUUCAGUCUUUAUUGAACUUCAAAGCUGAGAUUGAUAAAAGAUCUCCUGGUAGCAUUGUCGAGGUUGAUGUCAAGAGGGAAGGAGGUGAACUGCAUUUCCGCAGAUUUUUUAUGGCACUUAAGCCGUGCAUUGAUGGCUUCUUGGCUGGUUGUAGACCAUAUGUCAGUAUAGACUCCACAUUUUUGACUGGAAAGUGA